rnacentral:rRNA from 1 species
CCCUUAGAUGUCCUGGGCUGCACGCGCGCUACACUGAUGUGUCCAGUAAGCACCUAACCUCUUCCGAAAGGAACGGGUAACCUUUGCAAAGCACAUCGUGAUGGGGAUAGAUUAUUGCAAUUAUUAGUCUUGAACGAGGAAUUCCUAGUAGACGUAGUUCAUCAGACUGCAUCGAUUACGUCCCUGCCCUUUGUACACACCGCCCGUCGCUCCUACCGAUUGAAUGCUCAGGUGAGCCAUUCGGACUUUCAUCAUGCUGGUUUCCAGUUUUGAUGAAGGAAAGUCUUGCGAACCUUAUCAUUUAGAGGAAGGAGAAGUCGUAACA